rnacentral:rRNA from 2 species
GACGAAGGUGGCGAGCGUUACUCGGAAUUACUAGGCGUAAAGCGUGGGUAGGCGGCCCGGCAAGUCUGUUGUGAAAGCUCCCGGCUCAACUGGGAGAGGUCAAUGGAUACUACCGGGCUUGAAUCGGGGAGAGGUCACUGGAAUUCCUGGUGUAGCGGUGAAAUGCGUAGAGAUCAGGAGGAACACCAAUGGCGAAAGCAGGUGACUGGACCCGUAUUGACGCUGAGCCACGAAAGCUAGGGGAGCAAACAGG